GGGUCCGGGCCUUCAGCCGAGUACACGCGGGAGGCAUUGUAAUAAUGGUGGGCGCAUGGAACAUGGUGAUCGGGGUGUUGGGGAAGUUAUCAAGGAGGUUACUGCCACGCUCACCCCUGCUACUGCCUGCCCAAGGGGAAGCCCAGGCUGCCGCGCACAUACAACUACCGGCAAAGGCGGUGGUGGGGGCGGGAGGGCGUAGUCUGGAGGAGGCUGGCGAGGGUUAUGGAGGGGUCCUGUCAUCCCCCCUCUCCCCCCUCUUCCUCGCUCCCCAAAUUGGCCUCUCACCAGCACAAGUAGCGGCGGGGCUGAAGGAGGGCGCGAGUUUAGUAGGCUUCGCUAAGAUUGGGCUGGAAGUUAACGGAGGAGGAGGCGUGGCACGUGACAAUGCAAUACAGGGCUUACAGAUGACAGGCGUGACUGGGCCGUGCCUCGCCGCCCUUGUCAACAUCCUAGAGACAGAUACUUUCACCCUGUAGAAAAAGAGAGAGAGAGAGAGAGAGAGAGAGAGAGAGAGAGAGAGAGAGAGAGAGAGAGAGAGAGAGAGAGUGUGUGUGUGAGAGGAUAUUUUUUCAUUUUCUUCCGUUAUAUAUUCAAUUUAUUUAUUUAUUUAUUAUUUUAAGGGAUAUUUUUUUCUCAAUAUUUUUCGUUCGUUUUUAUAAUGGAAUGUUUAAUUUUACCUAUAUUUGUUUACAUUUUUUAUCAAUUUCUUUCGAUUUUAUAUUCAGUUUAUUUAUUUAUCAUUAUUUUUUUUAAGAUCAUUUAUUAUUUUUUUCGCUCGUUUUCAUAAUGGCAAUGUUUAAUUUUAUGUAUAUUUUUCAAUUAUUUUUCAUUUCUUCGACUUAAUAUCCAGUUUAUUUAUUUAUUAUUACUUCUAAGUGUGUCUAGGUACUUGCAAUGAUCAUUUAUUUAUUUAUUUU